GCCUCCAUAGCUCAGUUGAUAAAGUAUUAGUCUAGACAACGAAAAGCGCCCAGUUCAAAUCUCAGUGGAGGCA
rnacentral:tRNA from 1 species